UAGUCCACGCCGUAAACGAUGUGUGCUAGUUGUCGGGACCUUAAGGUUUCGGCGACGGAGAGAAAUCAUUAAGCACACCGCCUGGGGAGUACGGCCGCAAGGUUAAAACUCAAAGGAAUUGACGGGGACCCGCACAAGCGGUGGAGCAUGUUGUUUAAUUCGAAGCAACGCGAAGAACCUUACCUACCCUUGACAUACUGGUCGGGAAUUGCAGAGAUGCUUUUCUUCACUUCGGGUGGACCAGAUACAGGUGUUGCAUGGCUGUCGUCAGCUCGUGUCGUGAGAUGUUGGGUUAAGUCCCGCAACGAGCGCAACCCUUAUCGUCUGUUGCCAUCAGGUUAUGCUGGGCACUCUGGCGAGACUGCCGGUGAUAAGCCGGAGGAAGGCGGGGACGACGUCAAGUCAUCAUGGCCCUUACGGGUAGGGCUACAAACGUGCUACAAUGGCUGUGACAGUGGGCAGCGAGGUCGCGAGGCCAAGCUAAUCUCUAAAAACNGUCUCAGUUCGGAUUGUU
rnacentral:rRNA from 1 species